rnacentral:rRNA from 1 species
UACGAAGGGUGCAAGCGUUACUCGGAAUUACUGGGCGUAAAGCGUGCGUAGGUGGUUUGUUAAGUCUGAUGUGAAAGCCCUGGGCUCAACCUGGGAAUUGCAUUGGAUACUGGCAGGCUAGAGUGCGGUAGAGGAUGGCGGAAUUCCCGGUGUAGCAGUGAAAUGCGUAGAGAUCGGGAGGAACAUCUGUGGCGAAGGCGGCCAUCUGGACCAGCACUGACACUGAGCACGGAAAGCGUGGGGAGCAAACAGG